AUUGAACGCUAGCGGGAUGCUUUACACAUGCAAGUCGAACGAGGGGCGGGCGGGUGAGUAAUAUAUCGGCACGUGCCCAGUAGCGGGGGAUAACUACCCGGAGGUGUUGCUACUAACGCCUACUAUUGGCGCGGCCGAUAUCGGAUUAGCUGGUUGGUGGGGUAAAGGCCCACAAAGUCACGCAUCCGUAGCUGGUUUGAGAGUACGACCAGCCACACUGGGACGGAGACACGGCCCAGACUCCUACGGGAGGCAGGAGUGGGGAAUUUUGGACAAUGGGGGAAAGCCUGAUCCAGCCAUCCCGCGUGUAUGAGAAGGCCUUCGGGUUGUAAAGUACUUUUGGCAGAGAAGCGGUAUCUGCAGAAUAAGCACCGGCUAACUACGUGCCAGCAGCCGCGGUAAUUC
rnacentral:rRNA from 1 species